AUGUAUACAUAUAUAUGUAUAUACGUGUAUAUAUGUAUACAUAUGUGUAUAUAUACACGUAUAUAUACACAUAUGUAUACGUGUGUAUAUAUACGUGUAUAUACACACACGUAUACAUACGUAUAUAUAUACGUGUAUAUAUACACACAUGUAUACAUAUGUGUAUAUGUGUAUAUAUACACACAUGUAUACAUAUAUGUGUAUAUAUACACAUAUGUAUACAUACACGUGUAUAUACACACAUAUGUAUACAUACACGUGUAUAUAUACACAUAUGUAUACAUAUAUGUGUAUACAUACGCACGUAUACACAUGUAUGUAUACAUAUUUGUAUAUAUACUCACAUAUACACAUAUGUAUACAUACAUGUGUAUAUACACGCACACAUACACAUAUAUGUGCAUAUACGCACAUAUAUACAUAUAUGUACACAUAUGUAUAUAUACACACAUAUAUACAUAUAUGUACACAUGUACGUACACAUAUACAUAUAUGUACCUAUAUGUACAUAUAUACUUACAUAUAUACAUACAUAUAAACAUAUAUACCUGUAUGUGUAUAUGUAUACACACACACACACGUACUU
rnacentral:lncRNA from 1 species